rnacentral:rRNA from 1 species
AGAGUGAACGCUGGCGGUAGGCCUAACACAUGCAAGUCGAACGGCAGCACAGUAGGAGCUUGCUCUUACGGGUGGCGAGUGGCGGACGGGUGAGGAAUACAUCGGAAUCUACCUUUUGGUGGGGGAUAACGUAGGGAAACUUACGCUAAUACCGCAUACGCCCUUCGGGGGAAAGCCGGGGACCAGCAAUGGCCUGGCGCUGAUAGGAUGAGCCGAUGUCGGAUUAGCUAGUUGGUGAGGUAAUGGCUCACCGAAGGCGACGAUCCGUAGCUGGUCUGAGAGGAUGAUCAGCCACACUGGAACUGAGACACGGUCCAGACUCUACGGGAGGCAGCAGUGGGAAUAGUGGACAAUGGGACGCGAAGCCUAGGAUCCGAAGCCGAUACCCGGCGUACGGUGAA